AAUCCAGUCUACUCCACAACUCACCUGUGACCACCCAAAGGAAAUAGCCACCGUAAGAACCAUCGGCCGGGAAGAUUGGAGAUCUGUCACGGUGGCCGAUGCCGGCGCCAUCCACCCCAGCUCCUCUCAUCCCACCGCCCACCACCACCACGACGACGAGCACCUCCUCCUCGCCGUCUCCUCCUCCCCUUACCCGUCUGCUCCGAGGCCGACCUCGGCAAGCACGCCGUUGUCGCCGUCCACCGACGCCUCUCAUGCCUCCUCUGCGGCUGCAGUCCCUCCGCCUACUAUCACCAUCACCCCGUCCUCCUCGCCAUCCCCUUCACACCCCCAUCUCCCGCGAUGGCACCCCCUCAAGUACGCCGUCGGUUGCGUCCAUGGCCCCAACACCCCUCGUUCCUCCUCCCUUUCUUGCUGCAGCAGGCUCACCACCACACCCCACGCCUCUCCCUCAUCUCCUCCGACGCCAACCUCCACAGGUACGACGGCUGCACCUUGCUCAUCCUCGCCGACGGUGCUGCCACUGUCUGCUACUAUCCCCUCCCCACAGAUGCGCUCCGUGGCAUGUUCUAUUGUGAUGGUUGACAUGGAGGUGCUCUGCUCGGCUACUGCCCCCCUUCCCAAAGCUCAUCGUGCCCUCCCAUGGUGCCUCUCAAAUUAGAUGGGACUUACUCUACUCGAACUACAUCCUAAGAAGUGCGCUUUGCCUUCUGAUCCACUUCGUCGAGGACCAAGAAAUCAGGAAUUUCUAAAGUCCGGAACAUUUCUCUACUACACUGCUACUUCAAAAAGACUAAUAGCCUAAAGAUUUGUUUCGGUGUCAGUUGCUGUUAAGCAUUUUAGCUCAUGUCAGUUGCUGCUUUCAUGGCCCUCGAAGAAGAACAAAUCCUGACCAUGUUAGUUGCCACCUAUUACUGUUUCCCCUUGUGUACCGGCGCGCUCACGGCCAGUUCUGGUGCUAUGCCCGGCUACCGCCUGUCCUUUCAAAACCUCAUCGUACCCACCCUUGCUGCCUACCAAAUUCAAAUUUUCUAUGAUCCAAAUCCGCGCGCCUAUGUCGAACUGUCUAGAAACCACUCUUGCAGCCCAUUAUAAAUCAAGUGAGCAGGCAAAUGGGACUCACGCUGCUCAAAUCACAUCCAAAGAAGCAACACGCUCUGGUCACGCUCUUCGCCUUCUGAUCUGGUUCACCAAGGACCAAGGUCCAAAAGAUAUUUGACAAGCUUAGGAGUUUCCUGGAGAAACCCUUGGAUUUAGGAGUGAUGCUGAAGAACUGCAAGGUCAAGAAAGCAGUACAGCCCUCGUGCCAAAAAAGUGCUAAAGGAAAACAUAAAGUUUUGUAUCAUGUACCUUACUGCUUGGCAAAAACAUCUGCUUGAAUAUCCUGUUGGAUUUCAAACUGGCCAAAUGGAGCAUAUCCUGUCAGAUUAAGAACUACAUGUAAACAUUCCAGCACCUUGCAUCAUACAGAACUAGCCUAAAGUGAUAUGCUUGAUCUUCUAUGCCUAUAAGUGCUGUAAAGAAGGUGUUUAUCACCAAGGAAGUUAAUUAUAAUAAGCAUCAGUAUAGAAACAAAUUUAUGAUGACUGAUAUAUUAUGCUAAAAAUAGCCAGAAGAUCCA